rnacentral:misc_RNA from 1 species
AAGACUAUAGACCUGCGGAGUACCUGCGGAAGGAUCAUUAUUGAAUAAACUUGGAACAAGUUGUUGCUGGCUUCAAAAAAAAAAGAAAGCAUGUGCACGCUUGCUCCAUUUUUUUUUUCAAAAACCUCUUGUGCAUCUGUGUAAAUCUGAACCACUUCGAGACAAAGUGAACCCACUUUACUCGGUCUUGAGAAUUGUCAUGCCACAAGGCGAGGCUUUUCUUGUUUUCAGAUUUAUGUA